rnacentral:rRNA from 1 species
UGAAUAGCUAACUGAAGUAGUCGGGAACUGAAUGGAAGUUCUUUUUUCGAUUAAGUGAUAGAAUCUAACAAUGAUAGAACUAUCUUUAAGUGUUGUCCAAGUUACUGGUGCCAGAAGACUCGGUAAGGCCAGAAACGCUAACGUUAGUCGUCAUAAACAGGCGUAAAGGGUAUGUAGGCAGCUUUGAAAGUUUAGACCUUUAACUGCUAUAUAGUAAUCUUUCUAAUAUAAUCAAAUCGCUUUUUUAGCCAUUUAUUAUAAAAAAAGAAGUUAAAAACUUAGACCCGCUCAAAGCUAGAAUCUUGAAGGAGGAUAAUACAAAUAAUACUUAGACGAGGGGUGAUAUCCUAAGACACUAGGUGGAAUACUAAAGGUGAAAGCUUUUUAUCUAACACAGAUUGACGCUGAGAUACGAAGGUGAGAAUAGGAAAUAGGAUUAGAUACCCAGAUACCUCUCACUGUCAACGAUGAAUGGUAAUCGGUAUUCUUUUUUAGGGUGCUGAUACAGCUAACGCGUUAACCAUUCCGCCUUGCGAAUACGGUUGCAAAACUAAAAGCAAAAAAAUUAGUCGGUUUCGGAGCA